rnacentral:rRNA from 1 species
UUCCGGUUGAUCCUGCCAGAGGUUACUGCUAUCGGAGUUCGAGUAAGCCAUGCGAGUCUAAAGGUUUCUUCGGAGACCUUGGCGGACUGCUCAGUAACACGUGGAUAACCUACCCUUAGGACUGGAAUAACCCCGGGAAACUGGGGAUAAUACCGGAUAGAUCAGGGAUGCUGGAAUGCACCUUGAUCUAAAGCUCCGGCGCCUAAGGAUGGGUCUGCGGCCUAUCAGGUUGUAGUGGGUGUAACGUACCUACUAGCCGACGACGGGUACGGGUUGUGAGAGCAAGAGCCCGGAGAUGGAUUCUGAGACACGAAUCCAGGCCCUACGGGGUGCAGCAGGCGCGGAACCUUUACAAUGUGCGAAAGCAUGAUAAGGGGACUCCGAGUGCCAGCAUCUAAUGCUGGCUGUCCUUGUGCCUAAAAAGCACAAGAUAGCAAGGGCCGGGUAAGACCGGUGCCAGCCGCCGCGGUAACACCGGCGGCCCGAGUGGUAGCCGCUAUUAUUGGGUCUAAAGGGUCCGUAGCCGGUUCGGUAAGUCCUUUGGGAAAUCUGGUUGCUUAACAAUCAGACUGCCAAGGGAUACUGCUGAACUUGAGACCGGGAGAGGUAAGAGGUACUUCAGGGGUAGGAGUGAAAUCUUGUGAUCCCUGGGGGACCAUCUGUGGCGAAGGCGUCUUACCAGAACGGGUCUGACGGUGAGGGACGAAAGCUGGGGGCGCAAACCGGAUUAGAUACCCGGGUAGUCCCAGCCGUAAACGAUGCUCGCUAUGUGUCAGGUACGGUGCGACCGUAUCUGGUGCCGUAGGGAAGCCGUGAAGCGAGCCACCUGGGAAGUACGGUCGCAAGACUGAAACUUAAAGGAAUUGGCGGGGGAGCACUACAACGGGUGGAGCCUGCGGUUUAAUUGGAUUCAACGCCGGA